GACAGAGGGUGCAAACGUUUGUUCGGAAUUACUGGGCGUAAAGCGAGUGUAGGCGGUUCGAUAAGUCGGAUGUGAAAGCCCCCGGGCUCAACCCGGGAAGUGCACUCGAUACUGUCGAGCUAGAGUAUCGGAGAGGUUGGUGGAAUUCUCGGUGUAGAGGUGAAAAUUCGUAGAUAUCGAGAGGAACACCGGUGGCGAAGGCGGCCAACUGGACGAAUACUGACGCUGAGACUCGAAAAGCUGGGGGAGCAAAACAGG
rnacentral:rRNA from 1 species